CUCAUAAAUCCGUUAUUCGUGGGAUAUUAUUGAGUAGAGCAUCUUACCUCAAGAAAAAAAAUCAUACAGCACUGAUUACUCUCCUUAAAAAAACUACAGGAUCUUCAUAGAGAAAACCAAGCAGACUCCACCCAAGCUCUUCAACAGCAACUUCUGGAAGUGCGUCAAGAGAUUAAUGCAAUCCAUUCCAAGAAAGCUAAUUUAGCAAUAAAGAAAUUAAAGGCGACAUCUUACUCUAUGGGAAAUAAGGCUACUAAAGUUCUGGCACAAAGACUGAGGAACAAACAAGCACAAGCAAGAAUUCCAUUUAUAAAGACGCAUGGGGGCCAUAAAGUUAUGCAACCAGUACAGAUAUGUAAUGAAUUUGCACAAUACUAUACGACUUUAUAUAAUUUGAAAGAUCAGCAUAUUCUACCUCAACCCACGCAUAUAUCUACACGCUCAUACCUGGCAAACAUCUCCCUUCCUCAAAUAACACCAAAACAUUUAGAAAAACUAUGUGCACCUAUCACUACAGAUGAUGUGUUGCACCUAAUUGAAAAUAUGCCAAAAGGGAAAACACCAGGUCCAGAUGGUUAUACUAGUGAAUAUUAUGCUACAUUCAAACAUGAAUUAAUUUUAGCUCUUACUAGCUUUUUUAACAACGCCACUAGAUUGGGAUCUUUCCCAACUGAGUUCCUGUCUUCCCAUGUAAUUACUAUCCCUAAACCGGGGAAAUCGUCAACGAUGUGUCAAAAUUUUAGACCAAUAUCUCUUUUAAAUGUUGAUGCAAAACUUUAUGCAAAGAUCUUUGCAGAACGACUCAGUAAUAUCAUACCGACAUUAAUACACACGGACCAAGUGGGAUUUGUGACGUGCAGACAGGGACCAGAUAACACUCGGAAUGUGCUAGAUUUAUAUGGAAUUUAAAAACGCACCAAACAGGAGAGUAUUAUGAUAUCCCUUGAUGCCGAAAAGGCGUUUUACCGUCUGAACUGGUAAUUCCUUCAGGAAACUUUAUCGGCCUAUGGAUUUCCACCUUUUUUUCUUUCUGCAGUUAAAGCUCUAUACAGUGCACCUUCAGCAACAGUAUUGUAUGCAGGUUUCCAGUCGCAAGAUUUUUCAAUCACUAAUGGGACCCGUCAGGGAUGCCCAUUAUCUCCACUUCUAUAUGUGCUAGCUUUGGAACCUCUCGCAAUAUCAAUACUGAGAAACUGUAGCAUCCAUGGUGUGUUAGUAGGCAACAAGGAGUAUAAACUUAGUUUAUUUGCAGAUGAUGUAUUUCUUACAAUAACGCAACCAUUUAUAACACUCCCUUCUUUGCAUAAAGAACUGCAAAUAUACAGUCAACAUUCAUACUACAAACUUAAUAUCGUAAAAACGCAAACUAUGUGUCUUAACACUACUAAAGCAAUGGAAGAUAGAUUAAAAGCAAGCUAUCAGUAUGAUUUGAGAGAAGAUUACUUAAUAUUUUUAGGUAUCAGAAUAACCAAUAAAGAGAAAGAACUCUUCUCAGCUAACUAUACGAAGCAUUUGAAAGAAAUUGAUAACCAGCUGGACUCAUGGAAGCAUCUGUUUUUAUCUUGGGUAGGAAGGAUUGCAGCACUCAAAAUGUCAAUCCUACCAAAGAUUUUAUAUCUUUUUAGAUCAUUGCAUAUUAAACUUCCACAAAAGUACAUAUCGUCUCUCCAAGCAUCUAUUGUAUGUUUCAGCUGGGGUGGCAAACACCCUAGAGUACCCAAGGCUCUACUUCUGAGAAAUGUGAAGAACGGAGGAAUGGGAAUACCAAAUAUAAGAGCAUAUUAUCACUCAGCCAUCUUAAUGAAUGUUAUCAGCGCCCAUUCAACUGAGGCAAAGAAGGGAAAAUAUGUUAUCUUCCACUAAACAUCUUCUUAGAAUCUGGGACACUUGCAGGGACAAAAUAUGUUCAGCAUACCUAUUGGCCCCUCGCGACCCUAAUUAAAAUAUUAUUCUAUUGUAAUGGUACGUUUCCCUAUCAGAAAUGGGAAAAAGCAGGUAUCACACAUUUAUUUCAUUUAUGCAACAAAGAGGGCCUUAAAUGUUUUCCAGCAUUGCAAGAAAAAUUUUCAUUGCCCUCAAAUUUUACAUUUGCUUAUCUUCAAAUCAAAGCGAUUGUAACUAUAACCAAGAUUUCAAUAGGAAGAAUCAACACUACAAGCUUCUAUAAUGGAAUUUGAAGAACAAUGUUUAUCGUUACUCCGUCCUCCAAAAAAGACACUGUCUAUCUGCUAUCAAAAACUUGCUAACCCCGCUGUGCAGAGCAAUUGGAAAUUCAUGCAAGACUGGCAAGAAGACUUACAAGUUAAUAUUCCUUUGACUGAAUGGAAACAAAUUUUUACUGCUCACAUAGGACUAACCACCAGUAUCGCCCAUCUUGAAGCCGAACGGAAAAUUCUUUACAGGUGGUACUUGGUAACAACACAUCUAAACUCUAUGUGUCCUGCAAUGCCAGACCAGUGUUGGCGACGUCAUAAAUGUAAAGGUACUAUGUUACAUGUUUGGUGGUCAUGCUAAGCUGUAAACUCUCUAUGGAACGACAUUACAAAGAUGAUAAAACAAGUUACAAAUAUCGAGUUGUCCCACGAGCCUAAAAUCAUACUGCUACGAUUACUUCCAAGUAAUGUACCUAAGUCAAUCAAGAAAAUGAUUUUCCUCUUAUUGAGUACAGCGUCUAUACUAAUUGCUAGACAAUGGAAAACCAAGGUUUUACCUUCUCGGCGAGAAAUUGAAGAAGUAAUGACCUCAACAGUGUAACACGAAUUGUUAAUGUGGAAUCAGAGGAAAAUAGGGAAAAUGAGCCCCUGCGUAGAUCAAAUGUGGCGGACAUAUUUACUAACGGAACACUAAUUAAAUCUUUGUACAUCUAGAUAAAUAUAGAGGCCUCAAUAUGGAAUACAUUUUCUGAUUAUAAUCAAAUCCAUAGAGGGUCUCAUCUAAUCAGUUAAGCAAUAAAAAUUGAUAUCAUAAAUUAUCCCAAGCUAUUGUAAGCUAGAAUAGGGGACAAGUUAACAGACUACUACUUAGGUACCAUUCUCACGUGAGUAAGUUGCUUCUUUCCUUUUACCUAGUUAAUAGGUUAUUGUUUCCCUUCCCUUUUCUCUCCCUUCCCUCUUCUCCCCUCCUUUUUUUUUCUUUUUCAUCAAUAACGAGGUUUAGAUAAAGUACAAGAUCAUUAUCUUGAAUAAUGGUAUAGCUUUUAGUAGUUCAAGAUAAUUAGAAUCCAUGGGUAACCAAAAUUUGGAAAUAUGUCUCCCUCGUUACUAGGCAUGGUUGGCACAGUGAUACCCUUUGGAGUGACAACUGCUUUUAUCACUGGUUAAAGCAAAGGAGGCAAUAUAAGGGUUAGUUAAAGAAGUAUUUGUGAAUGUGUGUAUCAAUUACCAUUGUAAUUUACUUUAUAUAUUUUAAGACACACAAGCUAUAUAAGAUAGGUCACGUUUUGAAUUUUGACUAUAUUAAGUGAUGAACUAUAUGUUACAAUAAUUGAAGAUAUGUAUUGAGAUAAAUGAUCUCGUUUGGAUGUUCCCUUCCCCUUUUUUCUUUCUGUAUCCUUUAUUAUUUGGAAAAAUAGAACAAAAG